GUGGGGAAUAUUGGACAAUGGGCGCAAGCCUGAUCCAGCCAUGCCGCGUGAGUGAUGAAGGCCCUAGGGUUGUAAAGCUCUUUCACCGGAGAAGAUAAUGACGGUAUCCGGAGAAGAAGCCCCGGCUAACUUCGUGCCAGCAGCCGCGGUAAUACGAAGGGGGCUAGCGUUGUUCGGAAUUACUGGGCGUAAAGCGCACGUAGGCGGACAUUUAAGUCAGGGGUGAAAUCCCGGAGCUCAACUCCGGAACUGCCUUUGAUACUGGGUGUCUGGAGUAUGGAAGAGGUGAGUGGAAUUCCGAGUGUAGAGGUGAAAUUCGUAGAUAUUCGGAGGAACACCAGUGGCGAAGGCGGCUCACUGGUCCAUUACUGACGCUGAGGUGCGAAAGCGUGGGGAGCAAACAGGAUUAGAUACCCGUGUAGUCC
rnacentral:rRNA from 1 species